CGUAAUGAUGGCCAGGCUGUCUCCACCCGAGACUCAGUGAAAUUGAACUCGCUGUGAAGAUGCAGUGUACCCGCGGCAAGACGGAAAGACCCCGUGAACCUUUACUAUAGCUUGACACUGAACAUUGAGCCUUGAUGUGUAGGAUAGGUGGGAGGCUUUGAAGUGUGGACGCCAGUCUGCAUGGAGCCGACCUUGAAAUACCACCCUUUAAUGUUUGAUGUUCUAACGUGGACCCGUAAUCCGGGUUGCGGACAGUGUCUGGUGGGUAGUUUGACUGGGGCGGUCUCCUCCUAAAGAGUAACGGAGGAGCACGAAGGUUGGCUAAUCCUGGUCGGACAUCAGGAGGUUAGUGCAAUGGCAUAAGCCAGCUUGACUGCGAGCGUGACGGCGCGAGCAGGUGCGAAAGCAGGUCAUAGUGAUCCGGUGGUUCUGAAUGGAAGGGCCAUCGCUCAACGGAUAAAAGGUACUCCGGGGAUAACAGGCUGAUACCGCCCAAGAGUUCAUAUCGACGGCGGUGUUUGGCACCUCGAUGUCGGCUCAUCACAUCCUGGGGCUGAAGUAGGUCCCAAGGGUAUGGCUGUUCGCCAUUUAAAGUGGUACGCGAGCUGGGUUUAGAACGUCGUGAGACAGUUCGGUCCCUAUCUGCCGUGGGCGCUGGAGAACUGAGGGGGGCUGCUCCUAGUACGAGAGGACCGGAGUGGACGCAUCACUGGUGUUCGGGUUGUCAUGCCAAUGGCACUGCCCGGUAGCUAAAUGCGGAAGAGAUAAGUGCUGA
rnacentral:rRNA from 1 species